rnacentral:tRNA from 1 species
AAAGAAUUAGUUAAAUAUGUGUAUAACAUUAGUAUGUCAAACUUAAAUUAUUACUUUAGUAAUAUUCUUUU